AUUGAACGCUGGCGGCAUGCCUUACACAUGCAAGUCGAACGGCAGCACGGGAGCAAUCCUGGUGGCGAGUGGCGAACGGGUGAGUAAAGUAUCGGAACGUGCCCAGUCGUGGGGGAUAACGUAGCGAAAGUUACGCUAAUACCGCAUAACGUCGCAAGACCAAAGUGGGGGACCUUCGGGCCUCACACCCUCGGAUGUGCCCAGAUGGGAUUAGCUAGUAGGUGGGGUAAUGGCUCACCUAGGCGACGAUCCCUAGCUGGUCUGAGAGGAUGACCAGCCACACUGGAACUGAGACACGGUCCAGACUCCUACGGGAGGCAGCAGUGGGGAAUAUUGCACAAUGGGCGCAAGCCUGAUGCAGCCAUGCCGCGUGUAUGAAGAAGGCCUUCGGGUUGUAAAGUACUUUCAGCGGGGAGGAAGGCGGUGAAGUUAACAGCUUCACCGAUUGACGUUACCCGCAGAAGAAGCACCGGCUAACUCCGUGCCAGCAGCCGCAGUAA
rnacentral:rRNA from 1 species